GUAGCUCAGUUGGUUAGAGCACCUGACUGUUAAUCAGGGGGUCGUUGGUUCAAGCCCAUCCU
rnacentral:tRNA from 2 species